ACAAGCAAAGCUGUCGUGCUCAAAUGGAGCGCGCUCAAAUGGAUGUUCAGCGACAUGUUGACAACGCCACACACAAGCAACUCCACAGACUAAAGCGGGUGAUGCGCAUAUAGACGUGUACAUGAUAUUUGAGGACAUGACCUGGUGUAUGGUCCCUUUCCUCUAAGCGGCCGCACAGCCACGGGCGGCUAAUGUCCAGACACACCAUCGAACAUCAAAACCGCCUGGCAAACUGUGCUUAAUCAAGCGACAUAGCAUAUCAAAGUGCGGCAUCCUCGAUAUGCAUUCGAUUACAGCGCAUACAAUGUCGAAAAAGCCGACAACAACUCAGAGCGGCACAGGCACCGGCUCAUACAACGGCUCGUACAACCACUCCAACCAGCGAACAAACAUUCCAAAUCGCGACGCGACAGCAUCUCACGCAGCUGUAAUAUCGUGAACAACGGAAAAGAAAAACAGCUUGUCCAUGCAUUCCGCCUACCGUUUCCAUAGCUUCAGUUCCCAACGCAGCCAUCAGAAACGCGACCAUGCAACGAAGUGUGUCAACGCAUGCGCGGCGAAGAAAUCUGUAGCACCAGGCGUCAUAAAAAGGUGUGAAGGCAGCGCGCACGUUGGUUGCUCCGUGUGUGUGUGCGCGCGUAGUCCACCGCAGUGUGUACGCGACCUCCGCACCGCACCCAUACAUGGCUUCCACGCGAUGCCCCAACCGCCCAAUCGGCAUAUCUUCGCUAAGAACCCUCAUACCAAAGCCAGCACCGAGGCACGGCCCAUACGUUCAUGAAUUAAACAUAAUUAUUCUACCUGCUACCGUCCCCUAUGUAAAAGCCCUAUGGACAACAAACCAUAUAAGCCCCCCUUUCCCCCUUUUGGCAGAUGGACUGCAGCAACAGCAAACCAGCAUUCGUGGGCAGCGAGAGGAGCGAUAGCAUACAUAUAUGAGGUAAGGUGGGCCUGCUGGCAACACAAGAAAUAGGAUGCCAUAGCAUCUGUCCUGGGGCUACCGUCAGGGGGGAUGGGUAAACAUUGAAGUGGAGACCGAGGUGAAGCGGGUUGGUUAUGAGGGCGGGUUUCAGGGUAUCACGUUGGCCCUCCCCUGCGGCCCCCUAGCCUAAUGCCGUCCUCCCCUGCGGCCCCGCCUAGCCUAACGCUGUCCUCCCCUGCGGCCUCCCAGCCCAACACCGUCCUCCCCUGCGGCCCCCUAGCCUAACGCCGUCCUCCCCUGCGGCCCCCCUAGCCUAACGCCGUCCUCCCCUGCGGCCCCCUAGCCUAACGUCAUCCUCCCCUGCGGCCCCCUAGCCCACCACUGUCCUCCCCUGCGGCCCCCUAGCCCAAUGCUGUCCUCCCCUGCGGCCCCCUAGCCCAACGCCGUCCUCCCCUGCGGCCCCCUAGCCUAAUGCCAUCCUCCCCUGCAGCCCCCUAGCCUAACGCCGUCCUCCCCUGCGUGGGUGUGGGUGUUUGUGGGUGCUUUUGCUGAUGUUGUUGGCAGGCCAUGCAUGCAAAAAAAGCGACACACACCGCACGAAGUGCCUGCAAGGCAGCAUGGGACCAGACUCACCUUUGCGACCUAAAAUGAGGCGUGUGCGGGUAUCUCACCGAAGGCGGAGAGACUGCCGCAUACAACCAGACAUUCGAUGGUUUUCAUACAUUCGCAAAAAAUUCCGGACAUGAGACCGCACACAACAAUGUGGCAAUGUACACGAAAUUUAAAAUGUGGAACAAUGCUUAAUGUUGGAGUGUGCUGACCGCCUCGCAAAUAUAAGCAGCUGACAUGUACGGUUUGCAGCGAAGAUGAAGGAUCCAACUGCC
rnacentral:lncRNA from 1 species